rnacentral:rRNA from 1 species
ACUCCUGCGGGAGGCAGCAGUGGGGAAUAUUGCACAAUGGGCGCAAGCCUGAUGCAGCGACGCCGCGUGGGGGAUGAAGGCCUUCGGGUUGUAAACUCCUUUCGCUAGGGACGAAGCUUUUUUGUGACGGUACCUAGAUAAGAAGCACCGGCUAACUACGUGCCAGCAGCCGCGGUAAUACGUAGGGUGCGAGCGUUGUCCGGAAUUACUGGGCGUAAAGGGCUCGUAGGUGGUUUGUCGCGUCGUCUGUGAAAUUCUGGGGCUUAACUCCGGGCGUGCAGGCGAUACGGGCAUAACUUGAGUGCUGUAGGGGUAACUGGAAUUCCUGGUGUAGCGGUGAAAUGCGCAGAUAUCAGGAGGAACACCGAUGGCGAAGGCAGGUUACUGGGCAGUUACUGACGCUGAGGAGCGAAAGCAUGGGUAGCGAACAGGAUUAGAAACCCGAGUAGUCCCAUG